AGAGUUUGAUCCUGGCUCAGAUUGAACGCUGGCGGCAUGCCUUACACAUGCAAGUCGAACGGUAACGCGGGGCAACCUGGCGACGAGUGGCGAACGGGUGAGUAACGCAUCGGAACGUGCCCAGUAGUGGGGGAUAGCCCGGCGAAAGCCGGAUUAAUACCGCAUACGACCUACGGGUGAAAGCGGGGGACCGUAAGGCCUCGCGCUAUUGGAGCGGCCGAUGUCAGAUUAGGUAGUUGGUGGGGUAAAAGCCUACCAAGCCGACGAUCUGUAGCUGGUCUGAGAGGACGACCAGCCACACUGGGACUGAGACACGGCCCAGACUCCUACGGGAGGCAGCAGUGGGGAAUUUUGGACAAUGGGCGCAAGCCUGAUCCAGCCAUGCCGCGUGCGGGAUGAAGGCCUUCGGGUUGUAAACCGCUUUUGUCAGGGAAGAAACGCUCCGGGCCAAUACCCUGGGGUAAUGACGGUACCUGAAGAAUAAGCACCGGCUAACUACGUGCCAGCAGCCGCGGUAAUACGUAAGGUGCAAGCG
rnacentral:rRNA from 1 species